UACGUAGGGUGCGAGCGUUAAUCGGAAUUACUGGGCGUAAAGCGUGCGCAGGCGGUGAUGUAAGACCGAUGUGAAAUCCCCGGGCUUAACCUGGGAAUGGCAUUUGGGACUGCAAGGCUGGAGUUUGGCAGAGGAGACUGGAAUUCCUGGUGUAGCAGUGAAAUGCGUAGAUAUCAGGAGGAACACCGGUGGCGAAGGCGGGUCUCUGGGCCGAUACUGACGCUGAGGAGCGAAAGCGUGGGGAGCGAACAGG
rnacentral:rRNA from 1 species